CACCGGGCGACCAUACCGCGACACAGCAGCCUACCGGUACCUGGUUAAGGCUUUCCGAGCACAUCGGGUACGCAAGCCGCGUCUGGUGGGCUCCAGGUCGCGGGAAAGGGAAGAUGAGGGGGAAGUGUGAUGGUGGAGUCUUAGGGCAAACGUGUCUGGUCGACCUGUCCUCCACCUGCGGUUCUCACCACAUAAUCCAACCCCUUUGGUACCCAACCUGUGGUCUCAAAUCCUCUACUGGCCUAGAAGCCGCUUGGGGUGCACCUUCCUAGGGACUUCGUAUCUGCCACCCACCAGGGUGGAGCUGUCUCUGACGAUUUCAUUGGUUUGUCUGGUCACCAGUGAGAAGUUGUGCAGAGCCCAACACGAGCUUCACUUCCAAG
rnacentral:lncRNA from 1 species